rnacentral:rRNA from 1 species
AGAUUGAACGCUGGCGGCAUGCUUUACACAUGCAAGUCGAACGGGCUGUUGGGGCAACCUGGCAGUCAGUGGCGAACGGGUGAGUAAUGCAUCGGAACGUGUCCCGUAGUGGGGGAUAACCCGGCGAAAGCCGGACUAAUACCGCAUAUGCUCUGAGGAGGAAAGUGGGGGAUCCGCAAGGACCUCACGCUAUGGGAGCGGCCGAUGUCCGAUUAGCUUGUUGGUGAGGUAAAGGCUCACCAAGGCGACGAUCGGUAGCUGGUCUGAGAGGAUGAUCAGCCACACUGGGACUGAGACACGGCCCAGACUCCUACGGGAGCAGCAGUAGGGAUAUUGGACAAUGGGCGAAAGCCUGAUCCAGCAAUGCCGCGUGAGUGAUGAAGGCCUUAGGUGUAAAGCUCUUUACCCGAGAUGAUAAUGACAGUAUCGGAGAAUAAGCCCGAUAACUCCGUGCCAAGCAGCCGCGUAAUCU